rnacentral:rRNA from 1 species
AGAGUUUGAUCCUGGCUCAGAGUGAACGCUGGCGGUAGGCCUAACACAUGCAAGUCGAACGGCAGCACAGUAAGAGCUUGCUCUUACGGGUGGCGAGUGGCGGACGGGUGAGGAAUACAUCGGAAUCUACUUUUUCGUGGGGGAUAACGUAGGGAAACUUACGCUAAUACCGCAUACGACCUACGGGUGAAAGCAGGGGAUCUUCGGACCUUGCGCGAUUGAAUGAGCCGAUGUCGGAUUAGCUAGUUGGCGGGGUAAAGGCCCACCAAGGCGACGAUCCGUAGCUGGUCUGAGAGGAUGAUCAGCCACACUGGAACUGAGACACGGUCCAGACUCCUACGGGAGGCAGCAGUGGGGAAUAUUGGACAAUGGGCGCAAGCCUGAUCUAGCCAUACCGCGUGGGUGAAGAAGGCCUUCGGGUUGUAAAGCCCUUUUGUUGGGAAAGAAAUCCAGCUGGUUAAUACCCGGUUGGGAUGACGGUACCCAAAGAAUAAGCACCGGCUAACUUCGUGCCAGCAGCCGCGGUAAUACGAAGGGUGCAAGCGUUACUCGGAAUUACUGGGCGUAAAGCGUGCGUAGGUGGUCGUUUAAGUCUGUUGUGAAAGCCCUGGGCUCAACCUGGGAACUGCAGUGGAAACUGGACGACUAGAGUGUGGUAGAGGGUAGCGGAAUUCCUGGUGUAGCAGUGAAAUGCGUAGAGAUCAGAGGAACAUCCAUGGCGAAAGCAGCUACCUGGGACCAACACUGACACUGAGGCAC